CAAACUUUUGAUGGCGACCGGCGCACGGGUGAGUAACACGUAUCCAACCUGCCUCAUACUCGGGGAUAGCCUUUCGAAAGAAAGAUUAAUACCCGAUGUCAUAGUCCUACCGCAUGAUGGGAUUAUUAAAGAAUUUCGGUAUGGGAUGGGGAUGCGUUCCAUUAGUUAGUUGGCGGGUAACGGCCCACCAAGACAACGAUGGAUAGGGGUUCUGAGAGGAAGGUCCCCCACAUUGGAACUGAGACACGGUCCAAACUCCUACGGAAGGCAGCAG
rnacentral:rRNA from 1 species